AGUGAACGCUGGCGGCGUGCCUAAUACAUGCAAGUCGAACGAUGAAGUCCUAGCUUGCUAGGAUGGAUUAGUGGCGCACGGGUGAGUAAUAUAUAGUUAAUCUGCCCUACACAGAGGAACAACAGUUGGAAACGACUGCUAAUACCUCAUACUCCUAUUUGACAUAAGUUUAAUAGGGAAAGUCUUUUCGGUGUAGGAUGAGACUAUAUCGUAUCAGCUAGUUGGUAAGGUAAUGGCUUACCAAGGCUAUGACGCGUAACUGGUCUGAGAGGAUGAUCAGUCACAUUGGAACUGAGACACGGUCCAAACUCCUACGGGAGGCAGCAGUAAGGAAUAUUGCGCAAUGGGGGAAACCCUGACGCAGCAACGCCGCGUGGAGGAUGACACUUUUCGGAGCGUAAACUCCUUUUAUCAGGAAAGAAUAAUGACGGUACCUGAUGAAUAAGCACCGGCUAACUCCGUG
rnacentral:rRNA from 1 species